UGAAAGGCAAUGAAAAGAAUAAGUAGCAUAUAUCAGAUACUUACAGAAAGCAGCCGGUUGAUGAGAGGCGCAAGUGAACAUAUAUGUGAAUACCUCUUGGAGCUGCACACCGAAAUGUAUAUCAGAGUAGGCUGUGACGGAUACCUGCACGUUAGAGUGGGAGAGUAUCAUUCCCAUGUGGAAUCGUACUUACUAAGGCAUAAGGCGUGAGCUUUAUGUGAAUAAAGGUGGUAACACGGGUUUAACCUCGUCCUUUGU
rnacentral:ncRNA from 1 species